rnacentral:rRNA from 1 species
GGAAGUAAAAGUCGUAACAAGGUUUCCGUAGGUGAACCUGCGGAAGGAUCAUUAUCGAAUCCAACUGGAAACUGGAAAGGAGGGAAGAUGGAACGGAAGGUGGGAGUCAAGGUUGUCGCAUCGAUAGCUAUCGCUAUUACUUGCACGCCUUUCUCUUCUCGUUUCGUGGACCCUUCUAUCCUUUUCCUUUUCCUUAUCCUUAUCCUUAUUCACCUGUGCACCCUUUGUAGGCCCUCGAAAGAGAAUCUACGUUCAUUUAUCCUACGCUUUAUGCUGUAUGUAUGGCCAGAAUGUACACAAACUUUACAACUUUCAGCAACGGAUCUCUUGGCUCUCGCAUCGAUGAAGAACGCAGCGAAUCGCGAUAUGUAAUGUGAAUUGCAGAUUUUCAGUGAAUCAUCGAAUCUUUGAACGCACCUUGCGCUCCUUGGUAUUCCGAGGAGCAUGCCUGUUUGAGUGUCAUCGAAUUCUCAACCAUGUCUUGAUUCUUGAGACACGGCUUGGACUUGGGGGUUGCUGGCGGUGACGUCGGCUCUCCUGAAAUGUAUUAGCGAUGGUCAGCAACUCGCUGCCUACUGCCUGACGUGCACGGCCUCGUUCGACGUGAUAACGAUCGUCGUGGGCUGGAGCGUAGGGCAAGCGGUGAAUCGCUUCCAAUCCCCUUAGACUUUCAGUCCUUCAGGAGACAGACUCAAGCCCCUAAGCCUCAGCUACUGGUAGUCGGUCGUGAGGCCGACGAACUGCAAGGCCCAAGUUUUUGAGACCUGGGAAGGGUCGAUCGUCGUCCAUCUUGAUCUUGAUCCUUGACAUCUUGACAUCUUGAUGUUGGACUUUCAAGAGACCAAGCCUUAGUUAUUAGUCGGUCAUGAGGCCGACGAACACAGGGCUUAUGUUCGAAACUUUGAAAGCCAUCCUCUCGAUCCUUGAUCCUCGAUCUUUAUCUCGAUACUUGAACUCUUGACCUCAAAUCAGGUAGGACUACCCGCUGAACUUAAGCAUAUCAAUAAGCGGAGGAAAU